UUACGUUUUUAUUUUUUAGAGAGAGGAUCACCCUGUCACCCAGGUGGGAGUGCUGUGGCGCAAUCUUGGCUCACUAUAGCCACGGCCUCCUAGGCUCAAGCAAUCCUCCCACCUCAGCCUCCCCAGUAGCUGACUACAGGCACGCACCACCACACCCGGCUAAUUUUUCUAUUUUUUUGUCAAGAUGGGGUCUCACUAUGUUGGCUGGUCUUGAACUCCUGGCCUCAAGUGAUACGACUGCCUUGGCCUCCCCAAGUGCUGGGACUACAGGUGUGCGCCACUGCGCCCGGCCAGGUUUUUCACAAGAAACCCAGACGGUGGGAUUGGGAUGCUGGAGGAAGUGGAAGCCGCCCCUGCCGCCUCCCCACCGCGCUGUGCUCUGUGCAUCCCGGACGCUGUUCCCAACACGCGCCCCACACCCGCCCCACACGCGCCCCACACCCGCCCCACACGCGCCCCACACACGUUC
rnacentral:lncRNA from 10 species